rnacentral:rRNA from 1 species
CCCUCCCUCCCUCGACUUUACGGCCAACUAAAUUGUCAUUAUUAGCGGUUCUUAUGGUCAACUAAACGUACCUUUGACACUUCCAAAUAAAUCUGUACUAAUCACCGCUCGGUAAUCUUAUGUAAUCCCUCGCUCCCUCCAUCUUUGGGUGGAUACGUAUGUCGGAGCGCACUUCUACGAUUACCAAGAUUAAUUGUUCCGUCAAAAGUCUACAAAAAAGAAGUCCUUGAACUUUUCUUAUCCAGAUUUAGGUACGGUUUUUUUCUCUUAUCCAGAUUUACUAAUUCGUAGUGAAGACGGUAAUCAACGUUUUGAACAAAACACCCAGUUACCCAUCCUUUCUUUCUAAGCUGUCAACGAAUUCUCAUUUAUACAGUUUACGGUUGUAUUCAUUGCUAAAAUAAAGACUCAAUCCAUGUUUUCUUACACUAUCUCUUUUCCUCAAACGAAAUAGAUUUCUUACACUAUCUAUUUUUCCUCAAACGAAAUAGAGAAUAGGGCGGAUAGUGUGCUUAUACAAAUCGAGUAUACACGUACACUAAUUGACUAAUCUUCAAAUCGUGUUCUGGUAAAAAAACGAAGAAACCAACUCGAGAGAAAUUUAAAAAAAUAACUACGUGGUUUGUCGUUAAACACCAAACAAUGAGAUCUCCAAUUCUUUUAUAUGAAGCCCGAACCCCUAAAAACAACUCAUUUUUGAUUAGUACCAAUUACAAAGUCUACAUUCUACAACAGACGUGGGGCACAUUAAAAGCAGUCAAAGAAAAGAGUCACACCUCUGAUACGGUCACCUCUCUGGUUGCUGCUAAUGGAACUCUAUCACCCUACACGUACCUUCCUCGCUGAUUGUUACAUCUCCUUUCGACGCGAGCGGCCGUGGCCAGUCCCAGGAUUUACUAACUCCUCAUUUUAAUCUAGUACCGGAAAGUACAAACUUCCCUAUAUCAUAAUACUAUUGAGAGUUUUUAGUUAUAACAUAUUACUGUCUUCAAUUAUUAGAUUUAGUCGUCCUCGUUCGAAACCUACUCACAUAUAUGAUCGCUGUACACGCCUUUCGAUUCGCCCAAUUACCUUCUACUCUUACCAGCUUCUCAACGCCACUGCCACAGUUGGUACUACAAUAUCCCUCUACGUGAUAACCUACGGUAAGAUAAACGAGGUACACGUUAAACCAUUUUAACUAAGUACAAAAUUUAAGUUUUCAAUACAAGAAAGUACAACAUUUGACGUAGGAUAUCAAUAAGUACGUAAAAACAGAUGCGCUACGGUGCAUAUUUUACGUAACAGUUACAAAUCUGCUACCACCAUAUUCUUCUUUUAUUUGACGACAAAAAAUAGGAGCUGUUCUAUAAAACCCAGGAGAAAGACACGAUCGUAGAAAAGAAAACCUUACCCUAUCAAUUACCACGAGAAUAUUUUUUAAACAACAGAGGGAAGUAAGGCUUUAUAUUCGGGAAAAUCUCUAAAGUUAUUCCUGAUGUAUGCCUACAUAUUCGAAGCAUACAUCAGGUAUAACCUUAGAGAUCUUUCCGAAUAUAAAUCCUUGCCUCCCUCAUGUUCUUUUUGUUGACGCCGGUGGAAAAAAAUCAAUGAGAUAAGGUUCCAACCAUGAUCUUCUAAAGUCUUCCUUUUACUUACGUUUUGUUUGAUACCUCUUUCAUUAUACACGUUAUAUGGUUUGACCUCCUUCUUCAUGUUUAGUUCUAUUCUUGUAAUGUAGUCACCACCAAACUUUCUCCGUUUUCGCCCCUCCUUCCAUUUUAUUCUUUACAUCUUCUCGAGAGAAUAUAACGGAUGUUCGUUCAACUAAUCACGAGAACAUAAAAGUUCUUCCUCUUCUCUUAAUGACCUUUUUUUGUUUUACCUUUACUGGACUUCCUCCUUGAAACUUCCAUUUGACACUACCCGAAAGAAAAGACCUUUAUCAUUACCACCGAUCCCUAGAUAGUAAUCUCUGCUACUUUCUCUACUAUAGCGUACAUGCUACCCAUUUUGAGACUUAUAUGAUGCAGUGAACGUACAACUCUAACACAGCCGAGUGUUUACUCGUGUUAAUCAACACUGACGAUUCAUUUCAACUCCAUAUUCGUUAUAAUCAAAACUCUGACCGCCCACACCUUGUACUUCCCUUUCUAGAGAGAACUCCAGACGUAAAGAUACGACCUACACUUCCUCAAAGAGAUGAUUUUGAAUGUCAAAAUUUUGAACACAUGAGGUCAUCUCUAACAUUAUUUCAUCGUGUAAGGGAUUGGCGGGACCCAACAUCAAAUUUAUAUCUUCGUUCGCAACAUUACCUGGUACUACAUAGACAACAUUGACUUGUUCACAGCACGGUGAAUCAACACUGCAUGAGG